rnacentral:tRNA from 1 species
AUCUAAUGUGGCAGAUAAAUGUACUAAAUUUAAGAUUUAAUAAUGAAAAAUUUUCCUUUAGAA